rnacentral:lncRNA from 1 species
GAAUGAUGAUAAUGAUGAUGAUAAUAAUGAUAAUGACAAUGAUGAUAAUGAUAAUGACAAUGAUAAUGAUGAUGAUAAUAAUGAUGAUAAUGAUGAUGAUAAUAAUGAUGAUAAUGACGAUGGAAGCGGCGAUGACAACGGAAAUGACAAAUGAGGAUGAAACUAACGAUACGGAAGAGAGAAGUGAUGAUGACGUGAAAAUGAGGAACACGAAGACGACCAAAGGACACGCGGAAACCUGAUAAGAAGCCAGAGAACCAAAGAAGAAAAAACAAACAAACAGAUAAUGAAAGGAGAGAAAAAAAGGAAGAAAAUAACGAAAUGAAAUGGAAAUAUAUACGUAUGAAUGGGAAGAAAUGAAAGAAGAUGAAAAAUGAAACAUAUAGAUAAUGAAAGGAGGAGAGAAAAAGAAAGAGAAAGAAAAUAACGAAAUGAAAUGGAAGGAUAAACGGAUGAAUGGGAAGAAAUGAAAGGGGAAGAAGAAAAAUUAAACAAGCAGAUAAUGAAAGGAGAAGAGAAAAGGAAAAAAGGAAGAAAAUAACGAAAUGAAAUGGAAAAAAUAUAAGGAUGAAUGGGAAGAAAUGAAAGGGGAAGAUAUAAAUGGGAAUGAUAAACGACAGGAAUGGAAGAAACUGCGAAUGAAGGAAUAACUGGAAGAGAAUAAAAGAAUGAGGUCAGUGAAAGAAGGAUAUUAAAGAAAUAAAAGAGUUUAAAUGAAAUUAAUAAAAGAUGUGGCUGAAAAAGUGACAAAGGGUAGGAAUGAUAAAUAACUAAGUAAAUAAAAAAGAAAGAAAAAAUAUGGAUGAAAACGAGAGAAGGUAUGAAUGAAGGGAAAUAAAAGGAGGUAGGAACGAAUGAAAGAGUGAGUGAUACGAAGGAGAGAAAUGUAAAAAAAGAAUGGAAGAAAAUGUAUGAAAAAGACGACAAUGCAAGAUAGAAAAAAUGUGUCAGAGGAAACCAAUAUGUAAAUUCAAUUUCUCUCUUUAAUAUCGGACAUACACGGAGUCUUUGUAAUAUCACAGGUAUGCACACCUGUACGUAUACUUACACUAAGAUACACAGACACACAAACUCGCUGACACACACACACACACAAUCACACACACUCACACACACACACACACACACACACACCACACACACACACACACACACACACACACACACACACACACACACACACACACACACACACGCACACAAACACACACAUACACAUGUUUGUGUACAUGCAUUUAUACAUUUACAUGCAUACGUAUGUUUAUAUAUAAUAAUCGCCAUAAGUCAAUCAGCAGACAACACCACAAGUCAAUCAACUUCCUUCAGUACAGACAGUCAACCAGUCAACACAGUCAACAGUGAGGCAGCAAGCAGUCAACAUCACAAGUCGAUCAUCAGUCCUCACUACAAGUUAUAUGGCACUUAACACUAUACGUCAGUCAACAAUCAAAACAUGACAGUCGACAAUAAGGCUCGUAAGUCAGUUAACAGUCAGCCUCGUAAGUCAGUCGGCAAUUAGCCACGUAAGUCAGUUAACAGUCAGCCUCGUAAGUCAGUCGGCAAUCAGCCACGUAAGUCAUUUAACAGUCAGCCCUGUAGGUCAGUCAAUAACCAGCCACGUAAGUCAGUUAACAGUCAGCCCCGUAGGUCAGUCAAUAACCAGCCACGUAAGUCAGUUAACAGUCAGCCUCGUAAGUCAGUUAACAGUCAGCCUCGUAAGUCAGUCACCCAACAACUGGCACCACACUUCCAAACACUACAAGACUGCGGCAGAGAUGUUUGAUGCAGAUAAUAUGGUUAAGGCAAAUAGAUAAAAAAAAUAAUCAUAUACUAAUAAUCAAUACAGGAGUGUCUUUAAUUUGGCUUGGAGUUUUAACGUCUAGGAAUUGCUCUAGACGUCCGUGAUAUUCUGUCAAUCAGAUUAUAGAUUCUGAGCACACUAGAUUUCCUUGAACCACCAAUUCGAUGCUAAUUUUCACUUGGAGAAAUUAAUUCAAUGCGAAAUUUCUAAAUGAAUCUUCACAUUUAUAGGUUCUGAACUUAUUAAUUUUUACCAUGACUGCAUUAGCCCGACUUAGAUGCCAUUAAAUUUUGGUGGUGAUUCAGAUCAUGGUACUGCGCAGGAUGUCAAAAAGUUAUAAAAAGAUUAUUUUUUUCCCUUAAAGUGUUUCUUAUCCCAACAUCGAUGCAAUUAAAUUUUAAUAGUGAUCCGGAUCAUAAUUCGUAUCCAAGAAUGUUAGCAGAAUAACUCAAAAAGUUAUGCACAGAUCUUUAUGAUUAUGAAUUUUUUUUGUAUGUGUCUUAGCCCAGUUUGUGAUCCGGAUCCAGGAAUUUUUAAAGGAAUAAUUAGCGUUGCGAGAUAACAGUCAGUUAUCACCACCGUACUUAAGAAAGAGGUGAUUCUAAUGUAAUUCUUCAAGUGUGAUUUUUUUUUAUUGCACUCUAUUGCCUUUGCGGGGGUUUGCGCUUUCCGAGUGCUUCUAGCGUUUUUUUUUUCAAUUUAUAUUUAUCUAUUUAUUCAUUUCUCACUUCUAUUUCUUGAUUAUGUUUUUAAUUAUUCUGCAUAUGUUUUCCUUGCAAAAUUUGACAUUGGUAUAUCUUGUAAUUCGGAGUGUGACUGCACGAUUAUCAAUCAAAUAAAUUUUACAUGAACGAUAUUUUUCCCGUG